GCCCCCGCCCGCCGCAGUGUGGGAGGACCGAGGGAGCCGGGCAGGGGCACGGAGAGGGCGUUUCCAGCCCCGUACGCGGAGACGAAGCCGGGCAAGAAGAGCGGGAAGCUCUGCUCGUCACUGCUCCGGUUUUAACACUGACUCCAGAUGGAAGAAAAACAGUUUUGUGACCAUCACACAGGAACACUCUCAACUGUUCGGGUAGCAGUAAUAAAGCCCAAAAGUGAAGGCUCCUGGGUACCAGCAGCAGCAGCUUUACUUCCUGCUGUCACAGUGACUUGACUUGACUUCAGUUUUUUAGCUCUCCUCUUCACUUUCUUGGGUUUCAUCUUCUAGAAUUAAUCAGAAAUACAUCUCAAACAAAUCC